GCGGCCCGGAGGCGACCUGUGCGCGAGGAGGCGCUGUGGAGGCUGAGGCCCAGCCCCUCGGAGGAAAGCCGAGAUAGGACGUUUCCUUGCGGGCUGAGCCGUGACUUGUCCCCUGGAGCAACACAUAGAAGAAGUGGCCUUGCAUCCUGCUCCGCCUCCCGAGCCGGGUCCUCGGUUCCCGGAAGCCCUGGGCUGCCCGGCUGGAGUUACCUUCUGUGCGUUCUCUCCUAAACCUACACGCUAUUCACGACUUUGUUGAUGACUAUGGAAAAAGACAAACCAAACCAAAGUCCCCCCGCCUGGCGAUGGUGCAAGGCUGUCUACCUGCUGGAGGAUGGUUGGAAUGUGCACACCUGGCUCGACCAAAAGAGGCACAGCUUAGGGGCAGCUUGGACCCAGCUCAAGUCUGAACUUGGCAGCUUUCCUGAGCCUGCCUAGGAAAGCAGGCUGGAGUGCAGGUGUCCCAGGGCUCUCUGGAGAAGCAGCAGCAACACCACGCCUGGCUCUGGUUUCUUGGUCUCCUCGGAGAGGAUGCUUGAAGGAAUGGCACUCCGCAGAGUACAGGCCCCGUAACAGUGCAGUGCAGCGACAUCAGCUGAGGACUGGACAGAACGAUCCUGAUGCUUGGCAGUGAUCCGUACAUGGAUAACCCUCUGUAUGAAAGGGCAGUGAGCCAGGAACCUCAAGCCACCCGGGAGCAGGGGCCUACUUGGCAUUUUCUGAGACGAGAGGCAGCGGAGUGUGUAGCAAAGGUGGUGCUGGCUCUUGCUGCUUCUGGAGCUCCAUCUCAGCAGCCCUCUGCAGUGCCACCUCCACCAGCAACUGGAAGCCGCUGAAGUCGUCCUUGUCCUGCUCUGGGGGUGUGGGCGGUGGUGUAUUGAAGAGUCCACCUGUGGGGCUUCCAGCCUCUGCCCUAGUCAGCAGGGGUCACUGUAAAGCUCUGGCUGUUCUGGAAUUCACUAUAUAGACCAAGGUGGCCUCAAAUGCUUCUACUUCCUGAUUACCAGGAUUAAAGUCACCAUGCUUGGACUGGAGAGAUGGCUCAGUGAUUAAGAGCACUGCCUCCUCUUCCAGAGGUCCUGAAUUCAAUUCCCAGCAACCAUGUGGUGGCUCACAACCAUCUAUAAAAUGCUCUGAUGCUCUCUCCUGGUGUGUCUGAAGACAGCUACAGUAUACUUAUA
rnacentral:lncRNA from 1 species